rnacentral:misc_RNA from 1 species
UUGGUUUGUUACGGGUGGUUGGAUGUCUUCUAGCGAAGCAACUUCCAUGCGUGCUUACCUUUUCAUUUAUGUAGCAAGGCUUUUUUGUCUUGCUCGUAUUGUGGGUUUCCUGUGUUGCGUACCUAAUCGAAGGCAUUUUAUGGACCGAUUGUCGGCAAUUUCAUCAUGCAUUGCAAUUGUGGUGUGUGAYGGACAAGGAAGUGGUCUUUGUAAUCCACUCGUCAUUGUAAAACCAUUGACGAUGUGGCUUGCUUAGUUCUACUUGGUCUCUUGGAUACUGAACCUGAUGUGGGCAAGGGGUUUUACAYGAUCCUUCUUUUGCCCUCGUUUAGCGUUCUCGCUUCUCUAAAACGAUCACUCGUCGUGUGUUGGCAUGUCCAUGCAUGGCGGGUUGCAUCGAAGAGGAAUGCUACCUGGUUGAUCCUGCCAGUAKUCAUAUGCUUGUCUCAA